CUUCUCCAGUGAUCCCAAAUUGUGCUGUGGGCAGGCCCUUGGAUAGGCAAUAGUGAGGAUUUUGCAAGACAUAUGAAGGUCCCUCUGUUGCCCCACUACCUGACGGCCACGCCUGGCAGCGUGCUCAGAAAGAGCUGAUGAAACACAGAGAGCCCCUGCCAGACACCAUGAAUAGUGUUGCCCCAAGGAAACAAAAAUUGCCUGUCUAUUUUACACCCAUGUGCUGUGCAGAUUAGGAUAUGGCUUCAGGGUAUCAUGACAGCUCCUGUGUUGAAUGUUUUGUGUCACUGGGACAUUUUAAACAGAGAGAACCAGACUUGGAAAUGAAGCUCUCAAGGUGUCUGUCUGUGCUGGAGGCAGCUGACUCUGGAACGCUUUGCCGGGCUGUCCCUGGGAGGGAGACCGGGAGCCGGGCCAGGGUGGGCGCUUCGUCCCGGGAAGCCGCGGCCAGGGCCGGCCCGGGAGCGCCCGGCAGGAGCCGGGCUCUGCGCGCCGCUUCUGCCUGGAGUCACCGAAUGGCUCCGGACACGAGCGUACUGCCAGGAGACGAGUGCAACUGAGAACGCACAUGCUGCUAUCAGCUCCAUAAAUGAGUCACCGAAAGAGAGAAAAGAACCCUUAUUAAAUCAGGCACUUCUUACACUA